rnacentral:tRNA from 1 species
CCUUCGAUAGCUCAGUUGGUAGAGCGGUGGACUGUAGUUGGUAUGAGUUGGCAGGUAUCCAUAGGUCGCUGGUUCGAAUCCGGCUCGAAGGA